GAUGGCUUCUAGGGACGGCUGGUUUUUCAAAACCGUCCCUAGAGAAGGUCAGUGACUCAGUUGACGGACACAUUCCGACCGUUGCUACCUUUAUCUGUGGCCACCCCGAAUUUUAUUUUACGUUCAGUAACACUAUAUCCAUCUGUUUCCAUGAGAAAACGAAAAGAAAUUAAUUCAUCUUCUUCUCGUCGAUUCACAUUACAAGAGCACCUCUCUCCAUCGAUUUUGGGUUUGAAUUCAGGUGCAUAUUGCUGGUGUUGGCGAUUUUCCUUUAGCGAGCGUUACUAGCUUAGCUGAUCCUUUCCCUUUACCAUCUGUUGAUACCGAUGAUCUGAAGAUGCUCUAGCUUGGCAUCUGUUCCAGGCUUGACGAAAUUUUUGAUGAACCUAGUGUUGUUAAGGUGGUUCCAAUUAGCCAGUCUGGACUGGAUCUCUUAAUCCUGGAUUUUCAAUCUGGGGAGUUUCUUGAUGUGAAGGUAAUCUUCCUCCUCGAAAAGAGAUACACCAAGCAAUUGAGGACGCACACCAUAAUAAAAUACUUAUGGAGAUCAGUUUGUGCAGAGUUUGGAAGAGUGGAGAAAUGGCUCUCAACAAGAUACCAUUGUUAUGAAGGUUUCUAUCGUGGGAACGUUAUAAAUAUCUCCAUUUUAGUUGACUUUGCACCUAUAGGUUGUACGAAAUGAGGACCUUUAUCAGCAGAUUGGAAGAGACGUUUACUUUGAUCUUGUUGAUCCCGAAAAAGUGCGUAGUUUUUCAGUAGUUUAUAUGAUGGGGACAGUGAGAAAUCUCCAUGCAUCCGCAUUUGGUUUGUAGAGAAUUGGGGGUUUCUUGUGAUCAUCCUAAGACGAUGGACAUUUGUAAAACUUUGGUCAUUAGAAAAAAUCUCCACAAAUCAAUAUGGAAAUUCCAGAAGAAGAAGAUGCAGGUGGAUUGGGUUCUUUUGACCAAGUGGAAGAUGAACCAGUUGAUGAUUCUUCAGAUAGUGGAAUUAUUGAAGCAAUCUCAAGCAGUGCUGAGUCUGAGUCAUAUGAUCUGGAUGGUUUUAAUCCAAUUUUGAAUUCAAGGGCAUCUCAGGAUUUUAAUGGAUCAUAAAAUCAUGUGUUGGAAUAUUAGGGGACUGGGACAUGAUACCAAAUUAAAUGCUAUAAGAAAUGCUAUCCGCAAAAACAACAUCACUAUUUGCUCUAUUCAAGAAUCAAAGAAGGAGCUGGUUGAUGAUGCUCUCAUUAGAUCUCUUUGGGGUAGUAACAGAUGUAAGUAUAUUCAUGUUCCUUCUUGUGGUGCUUCCGGAGGGAUUAUUGUUAUGUGGAAGGAUGGAGUUGUGGAGAUGGAGGAUAAUUUCAGCCUAUGCGCUUUCAAAGUUUUGCAUGUCGUCAUCUUCUAUUCUCAUUUCAGAUUGGUACCAAAGACUUCUGCAUGUCAUCUUCUAUUCUCAUUUCAGCCUAUGCGCUUUCAAAGUUUUUAGGCAACGUCUUAUCGGAGUAAAGCUUUCAAAGUUUUCUUAUCGGAGUAAAGCUUCCUCAAACAAUUAUACACAACAACAGUUCCUCACAACAUCAUUACAACCUCCACCACCGCCAUCAUCAACAACUUCUAGAGGCAUUUCGACUGUCUCCAAUCUCCUUUUCAUCUGUUAUUUCUGUUGAUUUUUAGUUUUCAGAUCUACAUUAGCAAGUUCUUUUUUUAGAUUUCUUCAAGAUUUGUUUUCUAGUUACGAUUCCCAUUCGGAGUCAUUUUCUGAAUCUGAUUUGGGUGAUGCUGCUAAUGUCAAUUCAUGAUCUCGAUCCUUGAGAUGUUGAUAUCUGUUCAGUGUUUGGAUUAGAAGAAAUAUUCAAGAUCUCCUGCUACACUAACAAGUCUCAGAUUACUUAUCUUCAUACCGGUUUGCUUCUGUUUUGGGAGUUUUUGAAGAUAUUUGUUGGAUGGAGAUUUGUGAUUGAGUGAUUCUUCUUCAAUUCGGUAUGUAAGAAGUGUGAUUCAUUAAGUGUUGAAAGUUAAAUGGAUUCUUCAUCCAAGAUAGUGAUUGUUGAAAUCAAUUUGCAGAUCAGUUUUGUAUUGUAUUGCAGUUUAGAGAACAUCUGUGAUUUUUCAUCACAUUGGUGAAAACUCCGUAUUACAUCCAUUGUUUUCUUCCAUGAGAAGUAUUUGUUGAGAUACAUGUAAUGAUUUGUAGUGAUGCUGUAUCGACCUUUGUGUGAGUUCCUGGCUUUCAUAGUUGAGCUGCAAGCUUGGAAUUCUAAUCUGCAGUCAGAGCACUGAAUUAGAAUGAGAGCCACGGAACUCGCUCGAUUCGCAGAUUGGUCUGACUCGUAAUUCACUUCUGACUCCAGAUAACAAACUUUGCACUAUACUAGUGCUCAGUUUGAGGGGGAAUAUCUCCAGGAUUCACAAAUUGGUUUGAAUGUCUAUUGGUUUGUCUUAGCAGCAUAAGCAUCAGAUUGGUUAUGUCAUCUUGCCUACUGGUAUUGUUCUUCCAAGUCUGGUUAUGGAUUGUGAAAUUCUAAAUGGUUUGGUACCAGUAGUGGCAGAGAUAUGGUUCAUUUGAUUGCUCUACAGGGGAACUUUACAGGUGCAACUAUAGAUUCAAUUGAACGGCAUUAUGACAUCAACUGUUGUUGAUAUUGUUCAGAGGGGUCAACUGUCACAGUUGACACAGUAGGAGAUGGAUCAACUUCAAGGGUUGACACAGUUCUGGUUUGUAUGGUUUGGCUUUCUUCUGCAUCAACAUCUUAGCAUAUGCUUCAACUAUCUCUCAAACCAAGUUAUGCAGUAUAUCAUCUACAACAAUAGUUGGUGGUGCUUCUCAACAGCAUACAGGUAUCAACUUCCUACAAAGCUACUUCUACUUCUAACUCUCCAGUUGCAGAUAUUUCAGGUCACAAUGCUUGAUUAGCAAACUAAUGCAUCGGAGUUAUACUACGAAUGCAUCAGUUUGAGGGGGAAUGUUAGAACAGCCUAUGAUGUUGUGACAUGUAAACCUGUAUGAUCUGUAAUGCACCAAUGGAGUGCCUCCAUCUGUAAUAAGUGAGCUAGAUUGAUAUAUAAAGCUAAUGACGAGAACCAGCAGGAACAAUCCAUAAGAAACCAAUCCAUCACAGUUACUUUAAUAACUAAGAACCAGCAGUGGGAGAAAUUUUCAUAACUAAGAAGAACCAGCACAGUCAGUAUCAUCACUAUCAGCUGACUGUGAAUCUGUAGAAGAGUCAAGCCUUUCGGUAUUAGCACUCUUUUGUAGAAGAGCUGUCGGACCUUCUUUUGUAAUCUUUAUAACGAGCAGCAACUUCAUAGCUCAGAGUGUGCUUUAUAUU